rnacentral:rRNA from 1 species
GAUGAACGCUGGCGGCGUGCCUAAUACAUGCAAGUCGAGCGAACGGACGAGAAGCUUGCUUCUCUGAUGUUAGCGGCGGACGGGUGAGUAACACGUGGAUAACCUACCUAUAAGACUGGGAUAACUUCGGGAAACCGGAGCUAAUACCGGAUAAUAUUUUGCACCGCAUGGUUCAAAAGUGAAAGACGGUCUUGCUGUCACUUAUAGAUGGAUCCGGGCUGCAUUAGCUAGUUGGUAAGGUAACGGCUUACCACGGCAACUAUGCAUAGCCGACCUGAGAGGGGGGUAGGCCACACUAGAGCGGAGACGGGGUCCAUACUCCUGAGGUAGGGAGCAGAAGGGAAUGUGCCGCAACAGGCGAAAGCCUGACGGAGCAAGGCGGCGUGAGAGAUGAAGGUCUUCGGAGCGGAAAGCUGGGUUAUUAGGGAAGAACAGAUGUGUAAGGAACUGUGGACAGCGUGACGGUACCGAGUCAGAAAGCCACGGCUAACUACGUG